UACGUAGGGGGCAAGCGUUUGUCCGGAAUUAUUGGGCGUAAAGAGCUCGUAGGCGGUGUGUCGCGUCGGCCGUGAAAACCUGCAGCUUAACUGUGGGCUUGCGGUCGAUACGGGCAUCACUGGAGUUCGGCAGGGGAGACUGGAAUUCCUGGUGUAGCGGUGAAAUGCGCAGAUAUCAGGAGGAACACCGGUGGCGAAGGCGGGUCUCUGGGCCGAUACUGACGCUGGAGGAGCG
rnacentral:rRNA from 1 species